UUUACAAAUUGAACCCCAUUUUUUUAUUUUAAAAAAUAUUCAUAAUUAAAUAUUGACCCCUCAAUUUAUUUGUAUUAGACAUUUCUUCUCCUUUUCCUUUUGAUUGCAAAUUCAAAGAAGGGAGAGAAAAAUCUAACAAUCCUCUUUCAAUCACCAUCGUCAUUCUCUCUUUUUCUCCCUCCUCGGUUACUCGUUCUCUUCUCCACCGUGCUUGCUCUACUAGGGUUUUUGCCCCUCUUUCACUUACUGUUGCUUGCUCUAUGAUCCUCUCCAUCCGCAGUCUCGCUCUUUCUCUGAUCGUCGCCGCCGCAACACGCCUCCGCCGCAACAGGGUUCGGCCGCCGCACCGCAACACUCGGGUCCACCAUUUCACUGGUUUUUGUCGCCUUUCUGUCUCUAUUCUUCACUAACGACUCUGAUCUUUGUCCUUCUUCCUCAACCUCUGUCUUUGCGACCUACUCCUCUAAGAUUAAGGGUGGACAAGAAGUAGAAACCAGAACAUGAUCUUCACAUACAUGCAUUUAAGAGGUAAAAAGGAGAGGACAGUGAAUCCAAGUUUGAGUAGCAGUGACUAUACUAUAUUUUUUUCAAUAUUUAUCAUCUCUGAAGUGAAUUUUAAUAUUUUAUUUUUUUAAUCUCUUUAUUUUAGAAUAGAAAGGCUUGCCUUUUCAUGAAAAAAGGGUCCUUUACUAAAACACUAGGAACACUAAAGGAAAUGUGUUUGGUAAUACAUUUAGUAUAAUAUGAUGAAACAGGGAUGGUUGAAUAAUUAUCAUUAUGGUUAGCAUUGGUUUUAGAAGUUUCUUGUUGCUUCUAGCAAUGUAAUUGCCUUUGCAUGCCUUCUUGAUGUGAACUAUUUUUCCUUAAAGGUAUAUUUGAAUAGAGGAACAUAAUUGAUUAAAAAGCUCCUUCAUGAGAUCCUACUCAGUGAUAGAGACUCUAAAAUUAUGUUUCAAAAAUUUAAACUGUUAAAUAGAGAUACAUUCUUUAACUCCAAUGAUGGUAAUAAUCUUUAAAUGUUUAUCAUUGAUUUUAUGCAACCUUGCCAUGGGUUAGAGUAACGCUUCUGGUUGUCUUUUAUUCUGGAUAUGUGAAGACAUUGGACAAUCUUUGUUCUUCAUUCUUGGCUUUUUCCUGCAAUGCUUUAUAGAUAGAUAAUGUUAUGUUUAUGUUUUUGUUGAGGUUUAUUAAUAUUUAUUAAAAAUAAUUGCUGCGUACACAUUUGGUUGAUUUUAUCCUUUUCAGGCAGAUUAGAACUCCUUUCUCAAGACACACUAAUGCUUAGCCAGUGGCUAUUAACUUAUUAUGACUAAUGGCACAGUUUAGAAGAUAACAUUUCAUCCUUUUAUUGAUUUGGAUGCUUGUCUCAAAACGAAUUUGAUGUUAUUUAUCACUUAUUUCUAUAAAUGUUGAUGUUACUGUUCUUCCAGGCUGCCAACCAUCCUUAAGUUACUUACAAUAUCGAUAAUUUCCAUUCUCAUAACUUGAUGUUUUAAUUUAUGCAUAAUUAUGCAUGUGGAAAGUUUUCAAACAACAAAUGAAAGACAUGCUUCAUCAUAGUGAUCAAAGGGCAUCGAGUUGAAAAAGUCUAGUGCUUCUCUUUAUACGUUUCCAUGCCAGAUUGCAUAUGUAAACAGGAAGAAGCAAGUAGAAAUUGUAGUUCUAGGAAAUGUAUGAUGUUUUGAGUGUAAAUAUAUGGCCUUUAGGAACACGUUCAAUACCUGUAAUUUAUUUUUGUAUCAUUUAGUUCGAUUUUCUUUUUUCUUUUUAAAUGUGGUAGAGUUAUUUUAAGUAAAGUAUAUAAAAAGGCCAUGAAUUAAGUGUUAAUUGUUAUUUUCAUUUAAACUCAACAAAUGGCACUUAAGUGUACAUUAAAUAAUUGUAAACCUACACAGACACGUUCCUGAUUCCUGAAUGUUGAUUGCUGAAUCAUUCUUGGAUCCCCGCUGACUGCUGAGCUUAGCAUGGCAAUUUGAUUGCGUGAAGGUUAUAUUGAAGGCUUAUAAUUUUGGUUCUUGAUUUACCAAUUAGAGGUAAUCGAUAUUUGCAUGAGUUGUCUACAUGACUACUUCCAAUAAUGGCAUUCUGAGUUUUGAUCUUAUACAUUGCAUUGGAUUUCGUGGUAAAAGUUUGUGGAGUGGCAACAUGAUAAUAUUUUCAGAUUGCACUGUAUAUUGUUACAGCUACAAUUACAACUAUAUAUAUAUAAUGCGCUGUUUCAUUGAGCCAAUUCUAGGCUCUACUUA